AUGGGCUGCGCCCCGACAUCCACAUUUCCGAAAGCCGGGCUGUGUACACGGCGGCAAGGAGGCCGAGGACGCGCCGGGCCCCGCGGCGCCGCCGCUGCCGCGGCGGGCCGCGCCUCCCACCCGCCAGAAGAACGGCCGCCGCGGCCGGGUCCCGCGCGGCCAGCCUCGCGGAGUCUGAGCCUCGCGGCUGCAGCGGCAGUAAGCUUGAGACAGUGGUUUCUUUCUGGAUUGAAUGUUUCAUUGAAGAAUAAAUUAGGACGUUUUGUUUGUCUUCUACCAAAGUGAGUGGACAUAGUUCAUAUCCUUUCUUUUCCCAUGCUUCAUUUUAGCAACUUCUCUGAAGUUUGCCUUUCCAUCAAGAAAGUAUACAGAAUAAAUAUAUCAUACAAAUUGCAGGAUACAUUUGGUUUAUAGCUGGAUAUUAUCUCUAUAUUACACAGGCUUCCUUUAUUUCUUGAGUUGGAAUGUUCCAAACCCUUUUGGAAUUUGAACAGUUUGUCAAAUUUACUGAUUUUUUUAAUAGCACCUCCAUCUUGGGAAAAAAAAUGCCACAUGGUGUUCCUGAAGGAACGUUUGAGAGAAUUAUGUGGUAUUCAGUAAAGCAAUUGGAAAUAACCUUUAAGUAUUUAGGAAUACUAAAUACUUAAAGUUCAAGAAACUAAUUUGCACAGCCAGAAGCUGUUAGCUCAGCACACAGACACCUCAUGCUGCUGUGGUGACAAAUGUAAACCCUGAAGGCCCACCCUGACUCAUUCCUCUCAGAGUGUGGGGAACAGUGGAGGGCGGACAACCUCAUCAGUAGAACUGCCCUCCAUUGCUUGUUUCAAAAAAGAUUUGAGGUGAAAAAUACUUACUGUAGGAUUAAAAAAGCGAACAGAUAAGAGAAUUGGGCCCACAGGAACACAGGGGUAGACUCAUCACUUGAGUCAGGUGUCAGGUCAUAUGUGAUAAUGCUUGCCACAGGGACUUGCAUGGUUGCCAGGGAGCUGGGUCACACAUUUGGCUCUGAGCUUCCACAGCGUCCACAAAUAGGAAAAUAGUUCCAGAAUUCCUGAGAUUUAACAGAAGCUAAUGACUCAGUAGAAGUGUAGCUUCUGAGCCCAGGCCUAAAGAAAUCAGUCUCCUGGGCACUUCUAAAGGAACAAGGCUCUCAACAAUGUUCCCACAGUAAAUGUGGUGGUGAGUGUCCCUUAGUGCAAGCUGAGGUCACAGUGCUGGAUGUGGAAUCCAAGUCAGGCCAAAGUAAGUGGGCCCAGGCACCCUGAUAAUUUGAUUUAGGAGUUAAAAUUUAGUCUGGGAGAAUGAUACAUUACCAGUUUUAAAUCUUGGCUAAUUUUAUUUACAUUUAUUUGAUUAGAAGUGAAGACCAAUCUUUUUCCAAAUUCUUAUCAACCAUUUGUAAUUUCUCUUUCGUAUAUUGUUUGUUACUUUGACCAUUUCCUAUUAGAGAACUGGAGGGGUUUUUUUAUUUGUAUGGAAUUUAAAAAAAUUAAGAAUGUUGUUAGUCCAUUUGUCAUUUAUGGUAAAUAACUUUUUGACCCUAAUUUGCCUUUUAAAUUGCUUAUGAUAAACCUUUCUGGAUUGCUUAUUGGAACGGGACAAGCGAUUAUGCUGGGAGUGGGAGCAUGGGGUUAGGGAAGCUGGCUUGAGGAGGGGACCAUCUGGAAUAGUCCCUACCAGGAAGGGAGAAGGAGUGGUCAUGGAAAGCGCCCUGGGCAGCACUUGGCACCCCGCUGCUGUUUGAUGACAUGCGUUUAUCUGCCACUCUGCAAGGUUGUGUGACUCUGCAGCAGUGUUAGGCUGCUUUUGUGUGUGUGGGCAUGAGCUGGACAGUUGGGUUGAUCUGGAAUUGAAGUUUUGCUUUUCUCAGAAUGUCCCCUAGCUAUUGACAAGGCAGACAAGGGAGCAAGAGUUUGGGUUUGACAGAAGUAGCAGACACAAGAAGAGGCCUUGGAGUCUAGGAGGACAGCUGAGAUAAGGCCUGGUAGUCUCAGGUAAAGGUACAAGAGGUUAGUCCUGAGCACAGCAUCUGAGGUGUAGAACUGCUCAGCACCAUUAACUGUCACAGCAGCGGGCGGUGGCAGUGGCAGUGGCAGUGGCAGUGGCAGUAAGGACUGCAGAAGAAGCAGGCCACACAAGCACAAAGACAAGUAAAACUAAUUCUGCUGCUGGAAGUCACAGUGGUGCCGGAAGGGCAGACUGAGGGGCCUCUAGUGCGCUGGUGGUGUUGCUUCUUGAUCCAGGUGCUGGUUAUACAGGUGUGUUCAGGUUGUGAAAAUUCAUCUUAGUACGCUUAUGAUAUAGGCACUUUUCUCUGUGUUCAAUAAAAUGUAAAGAAGUGAAAGAGAGUGAGUGCACACUUUGGUGCCAGAUCACCUGUUUUCAAACCUGCCACUUUAUAGCUGUGGGACCUUGGGAAAAUUAUUUAACCUCUCUGUGUCUCAGAUUUCAAGUCAUGUAGAAUGAGAAUAAUAAUAGCACUUACUCUAGGAGUGCUGUGAGGAUUAAGUGAUCCAUCCAUGUCAAGCACUCUGAAUAGUGCCUGCCACAUAGUAAACAUUCCCUAUUAGUUAUUGUUAAUAAUGGUUAUUAUUAUAAAGGGAAGAGGUGUGAGCGAGAACUGAUGAACUGGGCAGUUGUGGUCAGAGGAAGCUGGUGGAAAUUCUGUCAAAUGACGUCCUGGGUGUGACCGUGCAGUUGUGCCUGGGGUGGGGUGGGGUGGACUGUGGGUCACAGUCAGAAUUCAGUGGAGGGAACUGGGGUGUGAUGGUGUCACCAUAUGAACCCUGAUGUUGCCUAGGGCUUGAGGUGGAGAAGACUGAUC
ensembl:lncRNA